rnacentral:misc_RNA from 1 species
AAGUCGUAACAAGGUUUCCGUAGGUGAACCUGCGGAAGGAUCAUCAAUGAAAAAUCCAGCCUAACACUUGGGCAUUCUAGCCUGGUUGGUUGUCUUUGGGAAACCUUUGACAUCAAGUAGGUCUAAGUUUUUUAGACCAGGGAAUUGACGGAAAAAAAAAUUAGACCAAAAAUUGGUCAAGGUAAACUUUCAGGUUCAAGUUUAACUCUUGACCUGAUAUUUACACUAGAAAAAAACAACUUUCGGCAACGGAUCUCUCGGCUCUCC